rnacentral:rRNA from 1 species
CCUACGGGCGGCAGCAGUGGGGAAUAUUGGGCAAUGGGCGCAAGCCUGACCCAGCAACGCCGCGUGAAGGAAGAAGGUUUUCGGGUUGUAAACUUCUUUUCUCAGGGACGAAGCAAGUGACGGUACCUGAGGGAUAAGCCACGGCUAACUACGUGCCAGCAGCCGCGGUAAUACGUAGGUAGCAAGCGUUAUCCGGAUGUAUUGGGUGUAAAGGGCGUGUAGGCGGGAGUGCAAGUCAGAUGUGAAAACUCAGGGCUCAACCCUGAGCCUGCAUUUGAAACUGUGGUUCUUGAGUGCUGGGGAGGCAAUCGGAAUGCCGUGUGUAGCGGUGAAAUGCGUAGAUAUACGGAGGAACACCAGUGGCGAAGGCGGAUUGCUGGACAGUAACUGACGCUGAGGCGCGAAAGCGUGGGGAGCAAACAGGAUUAGAUACCCUGGUAGUC